UACGUAGGGUGCGAGCGUUAAUCGGAAUUACUGGGCGUAAAGCGUGCGCAGGCGGUUUUGUAAGCCAGAUGUGAAAUCCCCGGGCUUAACCUGGGAAUGGCAUUUGGGACUGCAAGGCUCGAGUGCGGCAGAGGAGACUGGAAUUCCUGGUGUAGCGGUGAAAUGCGCAGAUAUCAGGAGGAACACCAAUGGCGAAGGCAGCUCUCUGGGACGGUACUGACGCUGAGACGCGAAAGCGUGGGGAGCGAACAGG
rnacentral:rRNA from 1 species